rnacentral:rRNA from 1 species
AAAUUGAAGAGUUUGAUCAUGGCUCAGAUUGAACGCUGGCGGCAGGCCUAACACAUGCAAGUCGAGCGGCAGCGGGAAAGUAGCUUGCUACUUUUGCCGGCGAGCGGCGGACGGGUGAGUAAUGCCUGGGGAUCUGCCCAGUCGAGGGGGAUAACAGUUGGAAACGACUGCUAAUACCGCAUACGCCCUACGGGGGAAAGGAGGGGACCUUCGGGCCUUUCGCGAUUGGAUGAACCCAGGUGGGAU